rnacentral:rRNA from 1 species
GACAGAGGGUGCAAACGUUGUUCGGAAUUACUGGGCGUAAAGCGCGUGUAGGCGGCUUGGCAAGUCGGGUGUGAAAGCCCUGGGCUCAACCUAGGAAGUGCACUCGAAACUGCCUCGCUUGAAUGCCGGAGAGGAAAGCGGAAUUCUCGGUGUAGAGGUGAAAUUCGUAGAUAUCGAGAGGAACACCGGUGGCGAAGGCGGCUUUCUGGACGGUGAUUGACGCUGAGACGCGAAAAGCGUGGGGGAGCAAACAGG